AUACUGUAGUGUAAGGAAUGUUGGAGUGUAUGGAAUGUUGGAGUGUAAGGAAUACUGAAGUGUAAGGAAUGUUGGAGUGUAUGGAAUGUUGAAGUGUAAGGAAUACUGAAGUGUAAGGAAUGUUGGAGUGUAUGGAAUGUUGGAGUGUAAGGAAUGUUGGAGUGUAAGGAAUGUUGAAGUGUAAGGAAUGUUGGAGUGUAAGGAAUGUUGGAGUGUAAGGAAUACUGAAGUGUAAGGAAUGUGGAGUUGUAAGGAAUACUGAAGUGUAAGGAAUGUUGGAG
ensembl:lncRNA